rnacentral:rRNA from 1 species
GAUGAACGCUGGCGGCGUGCCUAAUACAUGCAAGUCGAACGAGGUGCUUUGUAGCAAUACGGAGUAUCCUAGUGGCGAACGGGUGAGUAACGCGUUGGUGACCUACCCCAAAGUGUGGGAUAACAGUCCGAAAGGAUUGCUAAUACCGCAUGUGGUCUCCGGGUUUAGAAACCGGUGACUAAAGGAGCAAUUCGCUUUGGGAGGGACCUGCGUCCCAUCAGCUAGUUGGUGAGGUAACGGCUCACAAGGCGACGACGGGUAGGGGACCUGAGAGGGUGGCCCCCCACAAUGGAACUGAAACACGGUCCAUACACCUACGGGUGGCAGCAGUAGGGAAUAUUGGGCAAUGGGCGAAAGCCUGAACCAGCAACGCCGCGUGUGCGAUGAAGGCCUUCGGGUCGUAAAGCACUUUUCCGGGAGAUGAGAAAGGACAGUAUCCCAGGAAUAAGUCUCGGCUAACUACGUGCCAGCAGCCGCCGUAACAC